rnacentral:tRNA from 2 species
AGGGGUGUAGCUCAGCUGGUCAGAGCGCUGGUCUCCAAAACCAGAUGUCGCAGGUUCGACUCCUGCCACCCCUGCAA